rnacentral:rRNA from 1 species
CCUACGGGAGGCAGCAGUGAGGAAUAUUGGUCAAUGGCCGUAAGGCUGAACCAGCCAAGUCGCGUGAAGGAAGAAGGAUCUAUGGUUUGUAAACUUCUUUUAUAGGGGGAUAAAGGUAUCCACGUGUGGAUAUUUGCAUGUACCCUAUGAAUAAGCAUCGGCUAACUCCGUGCCAGCAGCCGCGGUAAUACGGAGGGUGCGAGCGUUAUCCGGAUUUGUUGGGUUUAAAGGGUGCGUAGGUGGUUUUUUAAGUCAGCGGUGAAAGUUUGUGGCACAACCAUAAAAUUGCCGUUGAAACUGGACGACUUGAGUGUGUUUGAGGUAGGCGGAAUGCGUGGUGUAGCGGUGAAAUGCAUAGAUAUCACGCAGAACUCCGAUUGCGAAGGCAGCUUACUAAGCCAUAACUGACACUGAAGCACGAAAGCGUGGGGAUCAAACAGGAUUAGAUACCCCGGUAGUC